rnacentral:rRNA from 1 species
UAGGGAAUCUUCGGCAAUGGACGAAAGUCUGACCGAGCAACGCCGCGUGAGUGAAGAAGGUUUUCGGAUCGUAAAACUCUGUUGUUAGAGAAGAACAAGGACGUUAGUAACUGAACGUCCCCUGACGGUAUCUAACCAGAAAGCCACGGCUAACUACGUGCCAGCAGCCGCGGUAAUACGUAGGUGGCAAGCGUUGUCCGGAUUUAUUGGGCGUAAAGCGAGCGCAGGCGGUUUCUUAAGUCUGAUGUGAAAGCCCCCGGCUCAACCGGGGGGGGUCAUUGGAAACUGGGAGACUUGAGUGCAGAAGAGGAGAGUGGAAUUCCAUGUGUAGCGGUGAAAUGCGUAGAUAUAUGGAGGAACACCGGUGGCGAAGGCGGCUCUCUGGUCUGUAACUGACGCUGAGGCUCGAAAGCGUGGGGAGCAAACAGG